rnacentral:rRNA from 1 species
UACGUAGGGUGCGAGCGUUGUCCGGAAUUACUGGGCGUAAAGAGUGUGUAGGCGGUGCUCCAAGUCUGGUGUGAAAUCUCCCGGCUCAACUGGGAGGGUGCGCUAGAAACUGGAAUGCUAGAGGAUGGGAGAGGUAAGCGGAAUUCCUGGUUGUAGCGGUGAAAUGACGUAGAUAUCAGGAGGAACACCUGUGGUGUAGACAGCUUACUGGACCAUUCUGACGCUGAGACACGAAAGCGUGGGUAGCAAACAGG